rnacentral:rRNA from 1 species
UAGACUUGACAUCUCCUGAAUUACUCUUAAUCGAGGAAGUCACUUCGGUGACAGGAAGACAGGUGGUGCAUGGUUGUCGUCAGCUCGUGUCGUGAGAUGUUGGGUUAAGUCCCGCAACGAGCGCAACCCUUAUUGUUAGUUGCUACCAUUUAGUUGAGCACUCUAGCGAGACUGCCGUGGUUAACGCGGAGGAAGGUGGGGAUGACGUCAAAUCAUCAUGCCCCUUAUGUCUAGGGCUACACACGUGCUACAAUGGCUGGUACAAAGAGAUGCAAUACCGCGAGGUGGAGCUAAACUAUAAAACCAGUCUCAGUUCGGAUUGUAGGCUGAAACUCGCCUACAUGAAGCUGGAGUUGCUAGUAAUCGCGAAUCAGAAUGUCGCGGUGAAUACGUUCCCGGGCC